rnacentral:misc_RNA from 1 species
GAGCCACAUCGAUCAAACGAGACCCCUCCCUCGCCACCCUACACCUCCGAUCCCCGCACUGCGCCGGGCAACGCUCCGGCUAGUCCUCCUUCAACAUCUUCGUCACCGGUGUCCACCGUUACUGCUACGACGAUUCCUCCUGCGGCGAAUAAUUCUAAUAAUCGUACGGACUACUUCUCGUCAGAGGAGGAGUUCCAGGUGCAGCUGGCGUUGGCGAUCAGCGCGUCCAAUUCAGAUUUUAAGGAUGAUCCCGAGAAGGAUCAGAUCCGAGCGGCGACGCUGCUGAGCUUGGGAGGGAAUCAUCAUCAUAAUCAUCAUCGGAUCGAUGUAGGGCGGGAAAAGGGGGAGGCUGCCGCGGAGGCCUUGUCAAGGCAGUAUUGGG